rnacentral:lncRNA from 1 species
ACUUGGUUACAUGAAAACAGCAAUACCAAAUCUCAUGUUCUCUACACAGUUAAAAUUCAUAUCCCUUGCUGGUAUGUAUUUUUCUUGUUGCAGCCAUCCAGCAUUCAUAUUUCCCCAAAAUUGAACAUUUUCUUCAAAGGGAAAAGAUUUAAGAAUAUGAUACAAUUGCCAAAGAUCAGAACCAUCUAACAGAAUAACAGAAAUGAAACCUGAUGACACUUCACCCGCGAGAAGAUCACUAGGACUUUAAAUAGAACACAAUGUGCAAUGAGGAAUUCAAAUCCAAAACGGAUUCUAUAUGAAUUCAGAGGGCGAAUUGG